GAAUGUGGCGAUAGCACGUUCAAUGCUCCAGUUCCCAACGGAUCACUGGAGCAACGUUGAGCGUGGUUGGUAUUCGGAUGGGUGACCAUCUGGACAAUCGCGUACUGUUGCCU
rnacentral:rRNA from 1 species